rnacentral:rRNA from 1 species
GUAGGUGAACCAGCGGAGGGAUCAUUACCGAGUUUACAACUCCCAAACCCAAUGUGAACGUUACCAAACUGUUGCCUCGGCGGGGUCACGCCCCGGGUGCGUCGCAGCCCCGGAACCAGGCGCCCGCCGGAGGAACCAACCAAACUCUUUCUGUAGUCCCCUCGCGGACGUAUUUCUUUACAGCUCUGAGCAAAAAUUCAAAAUGAAUCAAAACUUUCAACAACGGAUCUCUUGGUUCUGGCAUCGAUGAAGAACGCAGCGAAAUGCGAUAAGUAAUGUGAAUUGCAGAAUUCAGUGAAUCAUCGAAUCUUUGAACGCACAUUGCGCCCGCCAGUAUUCUGGCGGGCAUGCCUGUCCGAGCGUCAUUUCAACCCUCGAACCCCUCCGGGGGAUCGGCGUUGGGGAUCGGGACCCCUCACACGGGUGCCGGCCCCUAAAUACAGUGGCGGUCUCGCCGCAGCCUCUCCUGCGCAGUAGUUUGCACAACUCGCACCGGGAGCGCGGCGCGUCCACGUCCGUAAAACACCCAACUUUCUGAAAUGUUGACCUCGGAUCAGGUAGGAAUACCCGCUGAACUUAAGCAUAUCAAUUAAGCGGGAAGAAAA